AGGUGACAUGUACCGCUUUAAUUUGAUGGGUUAGGGUUUAGGUAAUGGGAGAUUUAACAAGUAAUCCUAAACGAAUUGAUGAAUGCUUUAACGUACACACCCCCUUCUCCGUAUAUUCACCCAAUUAUAUCUGUAGUUACAGUAAUUCAAUUGAUAUUCAUAUAGCGAAAAAACCUAGAAUCGGAAAGCCUGGAAAGGUAAUUGAUUUGCAAAAGAGCAGUUUUUCCAGAUUCAGUAGUUAUCCUAAACCAGAGAAGCUACCGAGGAAGGUUCAUGCGCCUUGUAGGUCAAAUAAAUUCAGGUCUUUGUCCAGUGGAUUAAGGUUUGAUGAUAGUGGGAUGGGAAAUUCACUCAAGGCUGCUUACGAACAGGCGAAACAUAGUGCAAUCAAUGGGUUGCGAUUCGUAAUUGUCGGAAAGGAUAAAAAUGGCGUGGUUUCGAAAAAUUGUAGAGAGUCAGAAAUCGCAGCAGACAAUGGAAGUGAUGAGUUAGAGUUGAAAAUUCAGGGAUUAGAUGGUAAGGGUUUGGAAAUUGGUGCUAUCCCGACUUCUUCGACUGUAUCUGAUUUUACUGAUGUUGAAAAUCUUUGUAAAGGGCUGAGUUCUUUGUUGGUUGAACGUGAGAAAUACAAAAAAUCGGGCAGUAAUGUGGUUAGAAGUUAUCCUAAGCUUAGUUCUCUGGAGUUUGAAAUCAAGCUACAAGAGGCCCGGUUCCAAUGUAUGCAGUCGCUGGAGAAACCGAAGGAGAAGAGACUAGAGGAUUUGUUGUUUGAGCCUUUUGUUCCACUUACUGAGGAGGAGGAAAGGGAAGUUUUAAGGGCCUUCUCACAUUCUAAUCGGAGUAAGAUUUUAGUAAAUCAUGAGAACUCCAAUAUCGAUAUUACGGGUGAAAUUUUGCAGUGCUUGAGGCCAGGUGAAUGGUUGAAUGAUGAAGUCAUUAAUGUUUAUCUGGAACUGUUAAAAGAGAGGGAAAGACGAGAGCCCAAAAAAUUUUUGAAUUGUCAUUUUUUCAACACAUUUUUUUAUAAGAAGCUGGUAGGUGGAAGAAAUGGGUAUGAUUAUAAAGCUGUGAGAAGAUGGACCACUCAGAGAAAGCUUGGCUAUGGACUCGUUGAUUGUGAUAAAAUAUUUGUUCCUAUCCACAAAGAAGUACAUUGGUGUUUAGCAGUAAUCAAUAAGAAGGAUAAGUCAUUUCAGUAUCUGGACUCGUUGGGUGGAAGAGAUCUUCAAGUUUUAGUAGCAUUGUCCAAAUAUUAUGUGGAUGAAGUAAAGGACAAGGGCGGGCAACACAUUGAUGUGUGUGAAUGGAAGCUAGAGUGUGUGGAUGACCUGCCUGAACAACAUAAUGCGUUUGAUUGUGGUGUGUUUAUGAUCAAAUAUGCUGAUUUCUAUAGCAGAGGCUUGGGUCUCUAUUUCUCCCAGAGACAUGUUUAAAAUUUUCAUCUAGGGAUUGAAACCAAGAAUUCUUGUGUUCAAGGUGCUUGGAAAGAACGCUUUGAAUAGGAUUGCUGAAAGUUAUAGUGAGUGAAGGACUAUUGUCAAGUUGCUGGAUGAUUUUUUGUUGAGGAUAGCUGUAGUGCAGACCCCUUUUUUCAGCGAUAAGAAAAACCCUUUGGCUUCAUUGUUUUGCAUGUCACUGUGAAUUAUGGAAGAAAAUCCAAGCCCCUUUAUUUAUGUUUCAUACCUCAGUAAACAUAAACAUAUCAUAUAUAUCACGAUAUGUGCUAUAUUGCGGAAAACAUGCCUUAUUUUCGAUUAAGGACAGCAAAGGAGAUUCUGAGGUUAAAAGCAUAUUGAAUUGGUGAAAUGCUCUUUCUGGCUUGAGGUGCACAAAUGUUAUUUCAAACACGUUCCAUUUUCAGUGAGACUAUUACUAUUCCUUUGAAAGCCCAGGGUCUUCUCAAUGGACUGAAUGUUGCUGAAAUAUACAGAAUAUUGGGUUGUGAGUUGAGUGAACUUGUAUAUACUGUGUAGCUACUAUUCUUGGUUACCUAGUACCUAUCAUGCUAUUCCUCCGUACUUUUGGCCUCUUAUUGACCCCUUCAGCUAAGAGUGCAGUGUAACUUUUGGGCUCGUCAUGCUUAUUGGUAUGGAACAUUGCUGUAGUUUGAGUUUUGGUGGGGAGGAUCGGUGUCAUCAGUUUUAGAUAUCACCAAAUCAAGUGCUCCAGUAUUUUUUGGCCGUGACUAUUGGAGAGUUAUGGUGGGGAUGACGGUGUCUAUAUGUUAUCUGCAGCGAUCAAACUAAGGGAAGGACAAUGAAACCUCCAUAUUUUAUCUGCGGUGACCGAACUUAAAGGACAAAGAAACCUCCAUAUUAGAUCUAUAAAUAGAAAGUUCUGUUUGUCAUGAGCAUUUUGAAGUAUAUAUCUGCAGUUCUUGUGACGGUGACUCGGUGAGCAUUUAUCGUCUUUUGGAAUCAAGCAGGAAGAACUCUUCAAGAGCACAAAGCAUGCCGCUGAGGCUUGUCGUUGUAAAUCAUCGUCAUGAUUCAUACAGUUUUUAGUUUCACAAUCCUACAGUAUGAGUUUUUACAAAUUAUAUGAAUAAACAGGCCAAUAGACAUGCUUACAUGACAGAUUUUGGAUCAUUUCUUUGUAGUACUUGGUUAAUAAAUGAACUGUGAGGACUGGAGAGCAAGGUUUCCUAAUCAAA